ACGAACGCUGGCGGCGUGCCUAACACAUGCAAGUCGAGCGAAUGAAGUUCCUCCGGGAACGGAUUUAGCGGCGGACGGGUGAGUAACACGUGGGCAACCUGCCUCAUAGAGGGGAAUAGCCUUCCGAAAGGGAGAUUAAUACCGCAUAAGAUUGUAGUACCGCAUGGUACAGCAAUUAAAGGAGCAAUCUGCUAUGAGAUGGGCCCGCGGCGCAUUAGCUAGUUGGUGAGGUAACGGCUCACCAAGGCGACGAUGCGUAGCCGACCUGAGAGGGUGAUCGGCCACAUUGGGACUGAGACACGGCCCAGACUCCUACGGGAGGCAGCAGUGGGGAAUAUUGCACAAUGGGGAAACCCUGAUGCAGCAACGCCGCGUGAGUGAUGACGGCCUUCGGGUUGUAAAGCUCUGUCUUCAGGGACGAUAAUGACGGUACCUGAGGAGGAAGCCACGGCUAACUACGUG
rnacentral:rRNA from 1 species